rnacentral:rRNA from 1 species
CCUACGGGUGGCUGCAGUGGGGAAUAUUGGACAAUGGGGGGAACCCUGAUCCAGCCAUGCCGCGUGUGUGAAGAAGGCCCUUGGGUUGUAAAGCACUUUCAGUGAGGAAGAACGCCUGGUGGUUAAUACCCAUCAGGAAAGACAUCACUCACAGAAGAAGCACCGGCUAACUCCGUGCCAGCAGCCGCGGUAAUACGGAGGGUGCGAGCGUUAAUCGGAAUUACUGGGCGUAAAGCGCGCGUAGGUGGCUUGAUAAGCCGGUUGUGAAAGCCCCGGGCUCAACCUGGGAACGGCAUCCGGAACUGUCAAGCUAGAGUGCAGGAGAGGAAGGUAGAAUUCCCGGUGUAGCGGUGAAAUGCGUAGAGAUCGGGAGGAAUACCAGUGGCGAAGGCGGCCUUCUGGACUGACACUGACACUGAGGUGCGAAAGCGUGGGUAGCAAACAGGAUUAGAUACCCGUGUAGUC